GAUGAACGCUGGCGGCGUGCCUAAUACAUGCAAGUCGAGCGAACAGACGAGGAGCUUGCUCCUCUGACGUUAGCGGCGGACGGGUGAGUAACACGUGGAUAACCUACCUAUAAGACUGGGAUAACUUCGGGAAACCGGAGCUAAUACCGGAUAAUAUAUUGAACCGCAUGGUUCAAUAGUGAAAGACGGUUUUGCUGUCACUUAUAGAUGGAUCCGCGCCGCAUUAGCUAGUUGGUAAGGUAACGGCUUACCAAGGCAACGAUGCGUAGCCGACCUGAGAGGGUGAUCGGCCACACGGGAACUGAGACACGGUCCAGACUCCUACGGGAGGCAGCAGUAGGGAAUCUUCCGCAAUGGGCGAAAGCCUGACGGAGCAACGCCGCGUGAGUGAUGAAGGUCUUCGGUUCGUAAAACUCUGUUAUUAGGGAAGAACAAAUGUGUAAGUAACUAUGCACGUCUUGACGGUACCUAAUCAGAAAGCCACGGCUAACUACGUG
rnacentral:rRNA from 1 species